rnacentral:rRNA from 1 species
GAUGAACGCUGGCGGCGUGCUUAACACAUGCAAGUCGAACGGUGAAAGCGGAGCUUGCUCUGCUGGAUCAGUGGCGAACGGGUGAGUAACACGUGAGCAACCUGCCCCGGACUCUGGGAUAACAGUUGGAAACAGCUGCUAAUACCGGAUACGAGCUGCGAAGGCAUCUUCAGCAGCUGGAAAGAACUUCGGUCUGGGAUGGGCUCGCGGCCUAUCAGCUUGUUGGUGAGGUAAUGGCUCACCAAGGCGUCGACGGGUAGCCGGCCUGAGAGGGUGACCGGCCACACUGGGACUGAGACACGGCCCAGACUCCUACGGGAGGCAGCAGUGGGGAAUAUUGCACAAUGGGCGCAAGCCUGAUGCAGCAACGCCGCGUGAGGGAUGACGGCCUUCGGGUUGUAAACCUCUUUCGACAUUGACGAAGCCCUUUUGGGGUGACGGUAGGUGUAGAAGAAGGACCGGCCAACUACGUGCCAGCCGCCGCUGU